CUUCCUUUUCCAUCAUUCUUUCUGCCAUAUUUAUUGGAGAGCGACGUGUUGUAAUGUGGCAUUAACCAACCAUUCAAGCACUUAAAGAUGACAAAAUAUAGAUGACAUUAUUUCAGUUGUAAUCGUUGUUGCAGAGAUCUUCAAACUCAAAGUUGAUAAGGUUAAGCUAAUUGAAGUAUUUGGUACAUAUCAAUCUGAAUUUUCAAGUGUAAUUGUUGUGUAUGUACAAUGAAUCUCCAAUGUGCAAUUUCUUUAUUAUGGUUGUGAGUGCUAUGUAUUAACGAAAUGUGAAUGAUGUAAUUUUGCUUUUAUGAUGAAAGAUUUAAUUUCCAUACUUGUAAUUGGAAUCUGAGUUGUAUUUUGUUGUUAGGUUCUUUUAUAAUGAAUGACUCAUAUAGUAUUUUUUUAUGA